rnacentral:rRNA from 1 species
UACGUAGGGUCCAAGCGUUAUCCGGAUUUAUUGGGCGUAAAGCACAUGUAGGUGGUUUUACAAGUCUCAUCUUAAAGCUCCGAGCUUAACUCGGAAUCUGGGCGAGAUACUGUAAGGCUAGUGGUCAGCAGGGGCAAACGGAAUUCCCGGUGUAGGAGUGAAAUCCGUUGAUAUCGGGAGGAACACCAAUGGCGAAGGCAGUUUGCUAGGCUGAUUCAGACACUGAGAUGUGAAAGCGUGGGGAGCGAACGGG